GACGAACGCUGGCGGCGUGCUUAACACAUGCAAGUCGAACGGAAAGGCCCUGCCUUUGUGGGGUGCUCGAGUGGCGAACGGGUGAGUAACACGUGAGUAACCUGCCCUUUACUUUGGGAUAACUUCAGGAAACUGGGGCUAAUACCGGAUAGGAGCUCCUGCUGCAUGGUGGGGGUUGGAAAGUUUCGGCGGUUGGGGAUGGACUCGCGGCUUAUCAGCUUGUUGGUGGGGUAGUGGCUUACCAAGGCUUUGACGGGUAGCCGGCAUGAGAGGGUGACCGGCGACAUUGGGACUGAGAUACGGCCCAGACUCCUACGGGAGGCAGCAGUGGGAAAUAUUACACAAUGAGCGGAAGCCUGAUGCAGCAACGCCGCGUGCGGGAUGACGGCCUUCGGGUUGUAAACCGCUUUCGCCUGUGACGAAGCGUGAGUGACGGUAAUGGGUAAAGAAGCACCGGCUAACUACGUG
rnacentral:rRNA from 1 species